CAUGAUUUUAUUAAAGUCUAGGAUGCUUAAGAUUAGAGAACAAACACUAUCAUCCAAAAGCAAAGAAGGGUCCCCAGAGUGAAAAUAAUUGCGAGGAUAAAGCCUAUUUUAGCAGAAAGGCUCCCUACAAAACCACCUCUAAAAUAAACAUCUGGGCAAGCGACUACAUCUAAUUUCAGAGCUGGGAAAGAGGCUGGCACACUCCUGGGUUGUGCCUGUGCUCGAGACGUUGGAAAGCGUUCAAGCAGGGCCCUCAGGGAAGCUCGCGGUGCACCUGUGAUGCUGAGAUAAGAUGCCAAGUGUGGCUGCAGUGGGGACUCUCUCGAUGAGCUUCGCCCUCCUGAUUUCCCUUGGCUCAUCUUCAGACUGACAGUGAUGCCCGACCUCCCCAUCGAGAGUGCACCUGGGGAGAAGAGGCCACAGUCUUGAUUCAAAGUAACAAUCGCUUAGGCAAACAAGGCGUCUGGAGCCUUGCCUGCUACCAGGAGAGGGAGGUGGAGGGGCCCGGGGGAGGCUGGGGGUCCCGGCCCUGGGUGUGAGGAGCUCCGGUCUUGGUGAGCUCUGCUCUGUCAGUCCAGAGAGGCUUCUUCCUCCAACACGUGCUUUAUCUCAGCAGCAGCAAAAGCCCUGAUCUUGUAACCGCACGUCUUCAUCUGCCUUAGGGAGGCCCCGCCCUUACUGAGGCUGAGAUGCAGGCUGCAUUCUGCCAGGUCACAUCCCCUCCUAAUCUUUUCAGGACAUUUUAAUCUGCAGUGACUUUGAAAUGAGAAGGAGGGUCAGGAUCCCAUCACAACUCCAGGAUGGAAAAAGGUGAAUAGAGAGGUUUAAGAACCCGAUUGGUAUCCGUGAGGAUGUAGGUUCGAUCCCUGGCCUCACUCAGUGGGUUAAGGAUCUGGUGUUGCUUUGGCUGUGGUGUAGGCCGGCCGCUGCGGCUCCAAUUGGACUCCUAGCCUGGGAACCUCCGUAGGCCGCAGGUGCGACCCUAAAAAGAAAAAAAUUAAUAAUGAGGGGAUGGGUGCCAUUGGCUGAAGCUGCGGAUGACAAAGUAGAAACCUGCCUGAGUUUCAACUCGGCGGCAGCUGAGCAGAAGGCACCUUUGCUCUUGAGGGACUGGCACACACGCUUGACUCUGAUCCUAAUCUAAUAUCCCCUGCCAGCCGACCUCAGACCCCAGGUUAACCAGGUCCACUGGGCGACAGCCCCGCCCUGGACCCAUAAUCCUCUGAGGCUGAGAGCAAACUUCGAGCCAGUGCUGACAGGUCGCCGCCUGGGACAACACACACCAACCAGAGAGCCCAAAGGGUAACUCCUGGUUCCUCCGUUAAUUUCGUUUUUGGGGCAAGAGCCGUAUUUUGUUAUAAUCCACCAGGAUUUCUGUCAUCUCUCAUGGCGCACAGUAGCAAUGUAAGCAAAUUCGUUUUGACAAACUUUCCAUUUUUAUUCUAUUUAAUAGCAACACCUUUCUUUUAUCUUGUUCAAAGAAUCAUCCCAGAUUCUCUAGGUUUUCAUGGAGACAACACAUUGAAUUGAUAUUUUUGAUUGAAACAAAGACGUUGGAAGCAAAUUUAAAUGAGACUUGUGGUUUUAUACGGCGGCAGCGGCUGUGUAACAGUUGAUAGGUUAGCGUCCCUUUAUUUUUCUUCAAAGGAAAAAAAUUCCAAUUGAAUGAUGCUUUGAAAAUAACUAACCGAAAGCAUGAGGGGCUUGUUUAGAUAGUUGAGGUGACAACAGAAAGUCAAGACUACACAUGUUCAUGUGUUUCCUCGGGAAGAAAAUCUCCAAUUUAUAUAGACUAGGGUGCUGCUGUCAUUUCCUCAGACAUGAUGCGCCACGAUGGAAAAGAUGGCUUUUCUUAAGGAAAUAUUAGAUGUAAUUUUUUAAAAAAAAAAAUGAGUAUAAAAAGUGACAUUUUUUUCCUUUCUCAAGGAUUUUCUCCAUAUCUCUUCAAAGUUUUAUUAUCUGAAGUUGACGUUUUCAACGCUGCUUGAGCAUGCUCAUCUUUCCAGCAGGACUUGGAGAUAUGACAGGGGUGUGUCUUCAGGACACAAGGAUUUUUUUUUCCCCCACCCAUGGCACAUGGGUGCGCCACAGCGGCCACAACGCCAGACCCUUAACCCAUUGCGCCAGCUGGAAGUUAAACCCUCUCCACCACCCAGACAACACUGGGUCCUUAACCUGGUGCACCACAGCGGGAACUCCCAGGACACAAGAAUCCUUCUUCUCCCGGUGGCUCCUACACGUGCUGUUUACUCCGCUCGUGUCCUCAUCUCAGCACCCUGUCCUCAGUCUGGGCUCCAUGCUGUGCCCUCUCAUCUGAACCCUUUCCCUCCCCUUCCCUGAGACGGCUUCCUUCCCAAUCUCGGCACAUUUCUCCCUGUUCACCAUCUUUUAAGAUUAAUCACAGAGAGUGCCCGUCAUGGCGCAGUGAAAACGAAACCGACUAGGAACCACGAGGUGUCGGGUUCGAUCCUCGGCCUUGCUCAGUGGGUUCAGGAUCCGGCGUUGCGUGAGCUGUGGUGUAGGUUGCAGACCAUGGCUCAGAUCUGGCGUUGCUGUGGCUGUGGUGUAGGCCGGCAGCCACAGCUCUGAUUCGACCCUGAGCCUGGGAACCUCCAUAUGCCAUGGGUGUGGCCCUAAACAAACAAACAAACAAACAGACAAACAAAAAGAUGAAUCCCAGAUUACAGUGUUGAUGGGCAGCCCAAGUUCCCAAAACAGGGCGCGCCCAGAUCAAGGUAGAAAAUUGAUCGAAUUGGGUGGCCGAGAUCAAGUGGAUUUUGUGCAGCAACAGGCACGUGUCCCUCAGGCCCUCCUCCAGCAGUGUCAGCGCUGGAGCUCCGUGAUAAAACCAGGAGUGAGCAAAAAAGUCCUCCAAGCGAGGAGUCAAAUCGCUGUCACGGACCCCACAUAACUUUAUGCCUUUGAUUAAAUUUAACCAACAGUUAUGGAGCAUUUUCUACCUGUCAGACGCUGUCCUGGGUGGUGAGAAGCCUGAGAUGAAUAAUUUAGCUCCCUCACCUUCUUCCAGAAAGGAUCUGAGGCAGCUGGCAGCAGAAACAUAUAAAAUAAAUGGCCACAUAUGGGUUUUUAAACUGGGCAAAGCCAAUAGAAAUUAAAAUAGGUCACAUCCAGGGGGAAAAAGCGCCUGGAUCCAUGGCCAAGGACAGCCUUGGUAAUGGUGACACUUGAGCUGUGAGUCUGACGCCAAGCGCGCUCAGCGGCCACGGGGAGCGGGGGACGCGGCCAGCGACGGGUUUCCGUCGUGGAAACAGAGAGAAGGUGCAGUUACUCGAGGGGACGGAGCUUCCUCAUCGCGAGGAGUUUGUAAUCCAGCCGCAGAGACGGAGCAUCUGCAGACAGAGCUGUGUUAUGACAAGUCUGCAGCAAGCGCUAAGGGGAGGCAGAGAGGGAAGCGGUUUCCUGGGCUUGAGAAGGAGAGGCUGCUGUCUGAACAGAGACGGAGGAGGUGCCCGCGGGUGAGACCGAGGCACCGAGUGGGGAGACUUCAGAGGAGCAGCCCGCAGCUCCGAGCACCUAAAAGUUGCCUCCAGGGCUUGUGGAGAGGCUCUGAGUCUGCAGGGCUGGGGCUUUGGGCACGCACACUCCAGAAGGCCAGGUCUAGGGCUGAGGGCCCGACUCGGAGAAAGGCGGGGGGAGAUUCUCGCCGCGUUGCACGGUGUCCAAGAGUGAGCGAUGAGGUUGGGAAGCAGGCUGGACCCGCUCGGGGUGGGCCUGGGAUGCCAGGUAGAAACUUGGACCUCGUGGAUGACGGGGAAGCGCGGCAGGCAUGAUGCUAUAUCGGAUGUGUGUGUGUGUGUGUGUUNGUUUUACUUUCUCCUGAGCACAAAUGCAGCAGCGAGAGGAUGAGAAGAGGGAAGAAAGAGACCAGGACAGGGAACCAACCACAAAUGUGGCAGGGUCCAAAAAUCAGAGAGGAUCGGAGUGGGCUUAGGGUGGCGGCAGGGGAAGGGGAGAAGCUGAGCACCUUUCCGCAGGGAGCGUGACCCCGUCACUGGAUUAUUCGCCGCAGGUUUUCUUUUCUGGUUCAUCUGCUGUUUUCGUGACGCACCUACUCUGAUUUUACCCCAGCUUCUGCUCUCUGGUGUCUGGCCUAAACCAACGAGCCGUCCCAUGAACUGCAGGGGAGCAGGUCCUUGCUGGGCUCGGCCAGGAGCCUCGGCGGACCGUGGGUGGCUUUGGCAAACCGGGAGGGACACUCAUUCCCUGGCGAGUAGGAAGGCAGUCUCCUGUGGUGAACUCACAUCGGGGAGCUGUGUGGUGCACACAGUUUUGGAGUUUCCCUUUUUUGUCUUUUUAGGGCCACAUCUGCGGCUUAUGGACGUUCCCAGGCUAGGAGUCGAACUGGCGCUGCCCCUGCUGGCCUGCACCACAGCCGCAGCAACAUGGGAUCCUUAACCCACGGAGCAAGGCCAAGGAUCGAACCUGCGUCCUCAUGGAUACUAAUCGGGUUCGUUAUGGCUAAGUCACAACAGGAACUCCCUGGGGUUUCCUUUUAUAUGUUUACACAUUUCUAAAACUCUGUUUUGGAGUUCCCUGGUGGCUCAGCCAAUUAAAGACCCAGCAGUUAUUAUCACUGCUGUAGCCCAGGUUACAGCUGUAGCUCAGGUUCUAUCCCUGGCCUGGGAACUUCCAAAUACCACAGUCCAGCCAAAAAACCAAAAAAACCAAAAUGCCAAACACCCCCCUCCCCCCGCCGCCACCAACUGUCUUUUUAGAGACAAAAUGGAGAUGAUAGCCAUGAAAUCCUCAAAACCAGCUACUCGGGUUCUGCAGUUUCAAGAUUUUUGUUAACCUUUGUUCUGCUACAGUGAGGUAGGAUUGACAAAUAAAACUGCACCUGUUUGCAGUGUACAGCAAGAUGAUUUGACACGUGCGUUUGUGACAUGAUCACCACAAUUAGCAUUGCCACACAUCCACUCCCCAGAACCUUCUUUUGGUGGUGAUAACACUGCAGCUUUACUUUCUUGGCAACCUUCAAGUAGACAGCACAGUCUUAACUCCAGUCACCAAGCUGAACACGAGCUCUCCAGAGCUACUCGUCUCCUAACUGCAGACGCGUACCCUGCGACCAGCUCCUCCCGCUCCCCCCUUCCUGACCCCUGGUUACCUCCAUUCUACUCUCUUUCUAGAAUCCAACUUUUUUAGACUUCUUGUAUGCGUGAAACGCUACAGUAUUUGUCUUUCUCUGUCCAACUAAUUUCACUUAGCAUAAUGUCCUCUAGGUUUGUCCGGGUCAUUGGGAAUGGCCCUCUUUCCUUCCUUCUCAGGGCUAAAUAAUACUCCAUUCUAUACCUACACACCACGUCUUCUCUGAGUUCCCGUCAUGGCGCAGUGGUUAACGAAUUUGACUAGGGACCAAGAGGUUGUGGGUUGGAUCCCUGGCAUUGCUCAGUGGGUUAGGGAUCCAGCGUUGCCGUGAGCUGUGGUGUAGGUCGCAGAUGCGGCUCGGAUCCCGUGUUGCUGUGGCUGUGGUGUAGGCCAGCGGCUACAGCUCUGAUUC
rnacentral:lncRNA from 1 species